CAGAUUGUCUGGCAGGAGGGCUGCAGGUGGGGUGGCCGGGCAGGCUCCUAAUACUAAGAGCUAAUGUGUACUGACAGAAUAUGAGAGUGCUAUGUAGCAAGCACUCUCCUGGGAAAGUGGGGCCUAUAGAUGGGAGGCACCACCCAAUAUCACCCAGCUCUAGAGGGAUGGCAGAGACUCACACCGGGGAAUGUGAGACCAGAGCGAGAUUAACUAGCAUUCUAACGAGAAGGCAGAGUCAGGUUAUGGACUGAGACCCCCACAACCUGGUAGGCGGGGUUCACUCAGUCCAUUCCUGACCAGCAAAAGCCAAACACAAAAUGUGUUGGACUGAUGCCCACGAGGACCAGACCAGGAACCGGGAUUCCCCCCAGUCCUCUCAGCUCGCCCCAGUGAUGGCAGCUGGACCUGGGAGGCUGUCCGUGUGCCUGUCACUUGAGAGGCAGAGAAGGACAUGCCAAGUGUCUUGUCACCAACACCUGACUCUGAGCACCAUUCAAAUGACAGUAGCCCUUGUCCCCUGCCCAGCUACCUCUGCUACUUGAGACCUUGGGCCCUCUGAGGUUAGGACAGUGGGUUGGCCUGUAGGCAGGGAGGGAGAACAGUGUGUCGCUGGCUGCAGGCUCCGCACCGACUGUUACAGAAUCCGUUAUGCGUUCCAUUUGGUCAGUGUGGACAGCUAGUGACAGUUACAGCAAGGACAGUUACUUUCAGUACAUCUGUCCUGAAAUUAAGUUUGGUCACUCGAAAAGGUGACCAAACUUGAUUUCAGGACAGAUGUACUGAAAAGUGAUCAGUGUCAAGAAGUCCAGUCAACUUAUAAUUUACAUGGAAUUUUUUGUAAUGUGCCCAGAGCACAAGGAAGGCACAAGUGUCCAAGUGAACUGGAGAACUAGAAUUCUGAGGUGAGCCUGUGUCUCCAGGUCACCACUGUUCACUUGGUUACAAGAGCCCAUCUCCAAAAUAUGUGAUCGUGUUCCUCCAGAGGUUACUAAAUUUACUAUCUCAAAUAAGCUGGUUGAUUGGAAAGAUCAGGUAACAAAAUCAAAUAUAUAUCUUUAGAUCUGUGCAUAUUUUUGUCAUUUAAUUUUCAAAUUAAGUUUCUUUUACUUUCACAUUUCAAAUAUAACAGUAACAAUAAUUAUUCACAAUUGGGAAAUUAUUCUGUCAGAGUAAAGACUUUUAAUUACAAGGUUUAAGACACUUCCAGAAUGAGUUUAAUAUUCAUGGAGCAAAUUUCGGUCACUGGAAUAUAAUACCAGAAAGAUUAUAUUCAGGCCCAUAUAAGUCAGAGAGAGAGGCCUUUGCACAGGUGUGAACUACUGGCUCUGGAAGACCAAGUGGUGUGAUGACCCUGCACUGCCAACAAAGGCCAUGGAUGGAAGGCACUGGACACACUGCCUGGACCAUAGAAAUGAUCCGCAGUACACGUGGGCCACCGCAAACACAUAAGCUGGCUGCUCCGUCUGUGACCACCACAAUUACCAGUGAAUAAAAUUAGGGCUGGUAAACACAGUCAUAAUACCAAGAAAUUAACAAUUCUAAAAACCAAUUUUCCCCAUUAAUUCAACUGCUUGGUUUAUUAAGGCAUAACAUUUAAAUGCAGACUCAGAAAAACUAAAAAUAUCUCAACACCUUAUUUUUCUAACUAUCUCCUUUUCCCAUAGGCUAUAUUUCAUUUCAGUCAAAUCAAAAUUAAAUCUGAAUUUUAACAUAGGAAAAGCAAUUCAAAGCACCAUUCCCUGGUGAUUUCAAUUAAUUCCAUCAUACUCUACAUACAAACAGUGAACACUCUUCCAUGAGGGACUGGCAAUUCAACUUGCUCCCUUGUUCUCCACAGAAGCAUCUAGUUUUAUGUUCUCUAACUAGCUUACCUGAAAGCUAAACUGGGUGUGGAUCAGCUGGGAUUACCUAGCUGGCGCGGCUGUUGCUGCUUCUGGACAACCCCACUGUCCACCUCUAGUGGGGACACCAAUGGAGCGUCUGCAAAUCCAAGAAGUUCUGAGAGGCUCUGCACAGGCACGGCGGACAGGUAAGUGUCUCAAAAACAUUUUCAUACCUAGUUCUUUUUUAAAAUUUUGUUUUAGUUAUAGGUAGACACAAUACCUUGACUUUAUUUAAUUUAUAUGUGGUGCUGACGAUUGAACCCAGUGCCUCACACAUGCGAGGUGAGUGCUCUGCUGCUGAGCCCCAGCCCCAGCUCCUAGUUCUGUAUUUCAAUUGAUGGUUUAAUCAGCAUUUAAAGGAAAGAGGAGAGCAAGGUCCAUGUUCUCUUAGGCCACACCAGUCUAGGGAUAA
rnacentral:lncRNA from 1 species